UAAGUACGUAACUGUAACCAAGUGCGCAGUUGCAAAAGCUAAAAUCUCUCUGUUCGAGACGAGUACGGCAACGCUGAGGGGAAACGAAUGUCUCUCCCCUUAUAUUCAUUUGAAAUGACGUAUUUCUCCCUUGUAAAAGGGAACCAGUAUAGGGGUCCUGUGUAAGAACCAGUAUAGGGAUCGGUGUUGGUUCUAACUGGUAUUGAAGGAGUACAGCUAGGAAUAAGCUACUUUUACAAUGUAUCCACCUACUGUUAAGAAGAAAUAUUAUUAAAAAAAACCCGGGA